rnacentral:rRNA from 1 species
UACGGAGGAUGCAAGCGUUAUCCGGAAUGAUUGGGCGUAAAGCGUCCGCAGGUGGCUGUGUAAGUCUGCUGUCAAAGAGCAAAGCUCAACUUUGUAAAGGCAGUGGAAACUACACGGCUAGAGUGCGUUCGGGGCAGAGGGAAUUCCUGGUGUAGCGGUGAAAUGCGUAGAGAUCAGGAAGAACACCCGUGGCGAAGGCGGUUCUCUGGGACGGUACUGACGCUGGAGACGCGAAAGCGUGGGGAGCGAACAGG